rnacentral:rRNA from 1 species
UGAACGCUAGCGACAGGCCUAACACAUGCAAGUCAGGGGCAGCACAAGGAGCAAUCUGAGGUGGCGACCGGCGCACGGGUGAGUAACACGUAUGCAACCUGCCUGUAAGCGGGGAAUAACCCGUUGAAAGACGGACUAAUACCGCAUAAUACUAAAUUACUGCAUGGUAAUUUAUUUAAACAUUUAUGGCUUACAGAUGGGCAUGCGCAUGAUUAGCUAGUUGGAGAGGUAACGGCUCCCCAAGGCAACGAUCAUUAGGGGUUCUGAGAGGAAGGUCCCCCACACUGGUACUGAGACACGGACCAGACUCCUACGGGAGGCAGCAGUGAGGAAUAUUGGUCAAUGGACGAGAGUCUGAACCAGCCAAGUCGCGUGCAGGAAGAAUGUCCUUAAUGGAUUGUAAACUGCUUUUGCAGGGGAAUAAAGUGCAUCACGUGUGAUGUUUUGUAUGUACUCUGCGAAUAAGGAUCGGCUAACUCCGUGCCAGCAGCUGC